ACACGACUACAUUAAGAUACCCGGGUAGUCCAGGGUGUAAACGCUGCGGGCUUGGUGUUGGGGGUCCUUUGAGGGCGCCCAGUGCCGGAGAGAAGUUGUUAAGCCUGCUGCUUGGGGAGUACGUCCGCAAGGAUGAAACUUAAAGGAAUUGGCGGGGGAGCACCGCAACGGGAGGAGCGUGCGGUUCAAUUGGAUUCAACGCCGGACAACUCACCAGGAGCGACGGUUACAUGAAGGCCAGGCUGAUGACCUUGCCUGAUUUUCCG
rnacentral:rRNA from 1 species